UACAGAGGUGGCAAGCGUUGUUCGGAAUUACUGGGCGUAAAGGGCGCGUAGGCGGCCAUCUAAGUCAGACGUGAAAUCCCCCGGCUCAACCUGGGAACUGCGUCUGAUACUGGACGGCUUGAGUUUGGGAGAGGGAUGUAGAAUUCCAGGUGUAGCGGUGAAAUGCGUAGAUAUCUGGAGGAAUACCGGUGGCGAAGGCGGCAUCCUGGACCGGCAUUGACGCUGAUGAGCGAAAGCUAGGGGAGCAAACGGG
rnacentral:rRNA from 1 species